UACGUAGGGGGCAAGCGUUGUCCGGAUUUAUUGGGCGUAAAGAGCGUGUAGGCGGCCUGACAGGUCUGCUGUGAAAACUCGAGGCUCAACCUCGAGAUGUCGGCGGAAACCGUCUGGCUAGAGUCCGGAAGAGGAGAGUGGAAUUCCUGGUGUAGCGGUGAAAUGCGCAGAUAUCAGGAAGAACACCGGUGGCGAAGGCGGGUCUCUGGGCCGAUACUGACGCUGAGGAGCGAAAGCGUGGGGAGCGAACAGG
rnacentral:rRNA from 1 species